AUUGAACGCUGGCGGCAGGCCUAACACAUGCAAGUCGAGCGGAAACGGCAAUAAAGAUUCUUCGGAUGAUUUAUUGGACGUCGAGCGGCGGACGGGUGAGUAAUGCUUAGGAAUUUGCCCAGUCGAGGGGGAUAACUAUUGGAAACGAUAGCUAAUACCGCAUACGCCCUACGGGGGAAAAGAGGGGACCUUCGGGCCUUCUGCGAUUGGAUAAGCCUAAGUGAGAUUAGCUAGUUGGUGAGGUAAUGGCUCACCAAGGCGACGAUCUCUAGCUGGUCUGAGAGGAUGAUCAGCCACACUGGAACUGAGACACGGUCCAG
rnacentral:rRNA from 1 species